AAAGUCUAACCUGCCCAAUGAAUAUUAAAAAUUUAAAUGGCUGCGGUACCCUGACCGUGCAAAGGUAGCAUAAUAAUUAGUUUUUUAAUUGAGAACUAGAAUGAAUGGUUGGACGAGAAAAAAACUGUCUCAAUUUAAUUUUUAUUAGAAUUUAAUUUUUAAGUUAAAAAGCUUAAAUAUAUUUAAAAGACGAGAAGACCCUAUAGAGUUUUAUAUUAAAUUUUAUAUUUAAUUUGAAGUAUAAUUAUAUUUGAAAUAUAUUAUUUAGUAUUUUAUUGGGGCGAUAGAAAAAUUGAAUAAACUUUUUUUAAAUUAUAACAUUAAUGUAUGAGUUAGUGAUCCA
rnacentral:rRNA from 1 species